GUGUACUCGCAAAAGAACGACUCAUAAAGUUCAUCGCAAUAAAAAAAAAACACCAAACCUAUCAAUCAAUGAUUCAAUUUCUACUUCACAAAUACCACAAUAUGGUCUCAAGUAAUAAAUUAUAGAUGCUGAUAUAUUGUAUGUUUAAAAAUGAAGAUGUGGUAUGAUUGCCAAUGAAACAACUCUUUCACAGGAGACCAAAUGACACCGAAAUUAACAAUUUUAGUUCCCCGUACGGUCUUAAACAAUGAGCUAAGGCCAUACCGCAUAGUCAGCUAUAAAAGGCCCCGAAAUGACAAAUAUCAAAUAAUUAAAACGAGAAAACUAACGGCCUAAUCUAUGUACAAAAAAAAAGAAAUAAAUAACACAUUAACAAACGAC
rnacentral:lncRNA from 1 species